CAGCCGCCGCGGGAAUACGUAGGUGGCAAGCGUUGUCCGGAAUUAUUGGGCGUAAAGGGCUCGCAGGCGGUUUCUUAAGUCUGAUAUGAAAGCCCCCGGCUCAACCGGGGAGGGUCAUUGGAAACUGGGAAACUUGAGUGCAGAAGAGGAGAGUGGAAUUCCACGUGUAGCGGUGAAAUGCGUAGAGAUGUGGAGGAACACCAGUGGCGAAGGCGACUCUCUGGUCUGUAACUGACGCUGAGGAGCGAAAGCGUGGGGAGCGAACAGGAUUAGAUACCCCCGUAGUCCCUGUCUCUUAUAA
rnacentral:rRNA from 1 species